rnacentral:rRNA from 1 species
GACGAACGCUGGCGGCGUGCCUAAUACAUGCAAGUCGAGCGAAGCGGCGGGUGGUUGAGUAACGCGUGGGUAACCUGGCCUUAAGUCUGGGGUAACAUUUGGAAACAGAUGCUGAUAACGGAUGCAAAAGGAUGGACCUGCGAUGCAUUGGCUAGGUGGUCAGGUAAAGGCUUACAAAGGCGAUGAUGCAUAGCCGAGUUGAGAGACGGAUCGGCCACAUUGGGACUGAGACACGGCCCAAACUCCUACGGGAGGCAGCAGUAGGGAAUCUUCCACAAUGGACUAAAGUCUGAUGGAGCAACGCCGCGUGAGUGAAGAAGGUUUUCGGAUCGUAAAGCUCUGUUGUUGGUGAAGCGGUAAUCAACCAGAAAGUCACGGCUAACUACGUGCCAGCAGCCGCGGUAAUAC